rnacentral:lncRNA from 1 species
GUAUUUGAGCUAGAGGGAGGAUUUGCAUUUUGUUGACGAUCGGAUUGGGAAUUUUGAGUAGUAUUGGUAUUUCGGUUGUGACGAUGAGGGGGGUCAAAGUUACUGAAACUUUCAAUUGUGGUGGAAGAGAGUUAUUCUUUUUGGUAUUGGGGAGUUCUUGAUUUGGUGUUGAAUUAACUUGUGUGCCAUCGAGAUGGACCGCAUCUUCAUGUCUUAUUUGAGAGGAUGUUGGUUGUGAAGUUGGGGUAAUUUUGCCGACCAUAAUUGAUGAAAUGGGGGUAAGAAAGAGGACCUUUAUUUUUUAUCCAGAGUGAUCUUUCUUAGUUCCUUUGUUUUGUGAGCUAAUCUGUUUAAGGAGCAACCCUCCUAAUUCUUGUUGGACUAGUCAAAUUGUAAUAGAUGGACUUUAGUCUAUCCCAACUUUCCUAUGAGAGGUUUGGUUUAUGGCCCC